UACGAAGGGGGCUAGCGUUGCUCGGAAUCACUGGGCGUAAAGGGUGCGUAGGCGGGUCUUUAAGUCAGGGGUGAAAUCCUGGAGCUCAACUCCAGAACUGCCUUUGAUACUGAGGAUCUUGAGUCCGGGAGAGGGUAGUGGAAUUCCCGGUGUAGUGGUGAAAUGCGUAGAUAUCGGGAGGAACACCAGUGGCGAAGGCGACUACCUGGCCUGUUCUUGACGCUGAGGCGCGAAAGCUAGGGGAGCAAACGGG
rnacentral:rRNA from 1 species